rnacentral:RNase_P_RNA from 1 species
AGUUGGCUGGGUGAUCGCUGAUUGUCUGUUUCGUAAAAAGAACGGGAAUUAGAGGAAAGUCCGGGCUCCAUAGGGCAGAGUGCCAGGUAAUACCUGGGGAGCGAGAGCUUACGGAAAGUGCCACAGAAAAUAUACCGCCGUUAUGGUAAGGGUGAAAAGGUGCGGUAAGAGCGCACCGCAUUGGUUUAACGCCAAUGGCAGGGUAAACCCCACUCGGAGCAAGACCAAAUAGGAAAGUGCCUCGCUAAAGCGGGAUAACGCGGCUCGUGUUAGCUUUCGGGUAGGUCGCUUCAGGCUCGCGGUGACGCGGGUCGCAGAUGAAUGGUCAUCACCCUGUUAUAGGGAUACAGAACCCGGCUUAUAGGCCAACUUGC